AGCGAACGCUGGCGGCAGGCCUAACACAUGCAAGUCGAACGAACCUUUCGGGGUUAGUGGCGGACGGGUGAGUAACACGUGGGAACGUGCCUUUAGGUUCGGAAUAACUCAGGGAAACUUGUGCUAAUACCGAAUGUGCCCUUCGGGGGAAAGAUUUAUCGCCUUUAGAGCGGCCCGCGUCUGAUUAGCUAGUUGGUUGAGGUAAUGGCUCACCAAGGCGACGAUCAGUAGCUGGUCUGAGAGGAUGAUCAGCCACAUUGGGACUGAGACACGGCCCAAAAUCCUAAGGGAGGCAGCAGUGGGGAAUCCUGCGCGAUGGGCGAAAGCCUGACGCAGCCAUGCCGGGUGAAUGAUGAAGGUCUUAGGAUUGUAAAAUUCUUUCACCGGGGACGAUAAUGACGGUACCCGGAGAAGAAGCCCCGGCUAACUUCGUG
rnacentral:rRNA from 1 species